rnacentral:tRNA from 1 species
GCCUCGGUGGUGUAAGGGCUAGCAUCGCGGCCUGUCGAGCCGCAGAUCCGGGUUCAAGUCCCGGCCGGGGCG